rnacentral:tRNA from 1 species
GGGAUAUAACGCAGUGGUAGCGUGUUUGCUUUGCAAGCAAAAAGUCAUGAGUUCGAAU